rnacentral:rRNA from 1 species
AACGAACGCUGGCGGCAUGCCUAACACAUGCAAGUCGAACGAGACCUUCGGGUCUAGUGGCGCACGGGUGCGUAACGCGUGGGAACCUGCCCUUAGGUUCGGAAUAACUCCCCGAAAGGGGUGCUAAUACCGGAUAAUGUCUUCGGACCAAAGAUUUAUCGCCUUUGGAUGGGCCCGCGUUGGAUUAGCUAGUUGGUAGGGUAAAAGCCUACCAAGGCGACGAUCCAUAGCUGGUCUGAGAGGAUGAUCAGCCACACUGGGACUGAGACACGGCCCAGACCCGUAGGGGGGGGAGCAGGGGGGAAAAUGGGAAAAGGGGGGAAAGCCUGACCCCGCAAGGCCGGGGGGGUGAGUAAGGCCUUAGGGUUUUAAAGCCCUUUUACCCGGGAUGAUAAUGACAGUACCGGGAAAAAAAGCCCCGGCUAACUCCGU